rnacentral:rRNA from 1 species
UACGGGGGGGGCAAGCGUUGUUCGGAAUUACCGGGCGUAAAGGGUUCGUAGGUGGCUCGCUAAGUCAGACGUGAAAUCCCUCAGCUUAACUGGGGAACUGCGUCUGAGACUGGCGAGCUUGAGUGCAGGAGAGGAACGCGGAAUUCCAGGUGUAGCGGUGAAAUGCGUAGAUAUGACAUAGAACACCAAUUGCGAAGGCAGCUCACUACACAAUCAUUGACGCUGAGGCACGAAAGCGUGGGGAUCAAACAGG